AUUCUUCUGAGUCCACACAGAUAAUGGUGUAACACAAUCCUCAGUCAAUCCUGUCCAUACGGUUAUGCACUGAAUCUGGCGUUUCUUCUACCUGCCUCGUCCGAGAGACGAAUCGUUAUAGAAAUAUUUGGGCAUGUGUAAGGAAAAUGACAAGAUUUUGUU